rnacentral:rRNA from 1 species
GAUGAACGCUGGCGGCGUGCUUAACACAUGCAAGUCGAACGGUGAAGCAGGAGCUUGCUCCUAUGGAUCAGUGGUGAACGGGUGAGUAACACGUGAGCAAUCUGCCCCGAACUCUGGGAUAAGCGCUGGAAACGGCGUCUAAUACCGGAUACGACGCGCGACGGCAUCGUCUGCGCGUGGAAAGAACUUCGGGUCGGGAUGAGCUCGCGGCCUAUCAGCUUGUUGGUGAGGUAAUGGCUCACCAAGGCGACGACGGGUAGCCGGCCUGAGAGGGUGACCGGCCACACUGGGACUGAGACACGGCCCAGACUCCUACGGGAGGCAGCAGUGGGGAAUAUUGCACAAUGGGCGCAAGCCUGAUGCAGCAACGCCGCGUGAGGGACGACGGCCUUCGGGUUGUAAACCUCUUUUAGUAGGGAAGAAGCGAAAGUGACGGUACCUGCAGAAAAAGCACCGGCUAACUACGUGCCAGCCGCCGCAGUAAGAC